rnacentral:rRNA from 1 species
GACAGAGGUGCCGAGCGUUAGGCGGAAUCACUGGGCUUAAAGCGUGUGUAGGCGGGUCGUUAAGUGCCUUGUGAAAUCCCACAGCUCACCUGUGGAACUGCUUGGCAUACUGGCGAUCUUGAGCCACUUAGGGGCAACCGGAACAAAGCGGUGGAGCGGUGAAAUGCGUAGAUAUCGGGAGGAACACCGGUGGCGAAGGCGGUUCUCUGGGCCUUACCUGACGCUGAGGAGCGAAAGCGUGGGGAGCGAACAGG